rnacentral:rRNA from 1 species
UUAGAGUUUGAUCCUGGCUCAGGAUGAACGCUAGCGAUAGGCCUUACACAUGCAAGUCGAGGGGCAGCACGAAAGCGUAGCAAUACAAUUUUGGUGGCGACCGGCGCACGGGUGAGUAACGCGUAAGCAAUCUGCCCCAUAGUCGGGAAUAACCGCGCUAACGUGCGGCUAAUGCCGGAUAUUGUGUCCUACCGCAUGGUAGGUUGACGAAAGAUUUAUCGCUAUGGGAUGAGCUUGCGUCCGAUUAGCUAGUUGGUAGGGUAAUGGCCUACCAAGGCAGUGAUCGGUAGCCGACCUGAGAGGGUGAUCGGCCACAUUGGGAUUGAGAUACGGCCCAGACUCCUACGGGAGGCAGCAGUAAAGAAUAUUGCGCAAUGGGGGGAACCCUGACGCAGCAGCGCCACGUGUGGGAAGAAGCAUUUCGGUGUGUAAACCACUGUCGAAAAGGAAUAAUAGAAGAUUUCGGUCUUUUUGAAUGUACUUUUAAUAGGAAGCACCGGCAAACUUCGUGCCAGCAGCCGCGGUAAUACGAGGGGUGCAAGCGUUGUUCAGAAUUACUGGGCGUAAAGGGAGCGUAGGCGGAGCUUCAAGCAAUCUGUAUAAUCCUGGGGCCCAACCCCAGUCCUGCAGAUUGGACUGUAGCUCUUGAAUAGUUCAGAGGCAAGCGGAAUACCUGGUGUAGCGGUGGAAUGCGUAGAUAUCAGGUAGAACACCAAUGGCGAAGGCAGCUUGCUGGGGACUUAUUGACGCUGAGGCUCGAAAGUGUGGGUAGCAAACAGGAUUAGAUACCCUGGUAGUCCACACAGUAAACGAUGCAUACUGGGCGUCCGGAUUUAAUUCGGGUGCCGCAGCUAACGCGUUAAGUAUGCCGCCUGGGGAGUACGUACGCAAGUAUGAGACUCAAAGGAAUUGACGGGGGCCCGCACAAGCGGUGGAGCAUGUGGUUUAAUUCGAUGCAACGCGAAGAACCUUACCAGGUCUUGACAUCCAAAGAAUCCUGAUGAAAGUCGGGAGUGCCUUAGGGAGCUUUGAGACAGGUGGUGCAUGGUUGUCGUCAGCUCGUGUCGUGAGAUGUUGGGGUAAGUCCCGCAACGAGCGCAACCCUUGCUAUUAGUUGCUAACAUUCAGAUGAGCACUCUAAUGGGACUGCCCGUGACAAGCGGGAGGAAGGUGGGGAGGACGUCAAAUCAUCAUGCCCUUUAUGAUCUGGGCUACACACGUGCUACAAUGGAUGGUACAGAGAGCAGCGAGACAGUGAUGUGGAGCGAAUCUCAAAAAGCCAUUCUCAGUUCGGAUUGCAGGCUGCAACUCGCCUGCAUGAAGUCGGAAUCGCUAGUAAUCGCGGAUCAGCAUGUCGCGGUGAAUGCGUUCCCGGGCCUUGUACACACCGCCCGUCAAG